rnacentral:rRNA from 1 species
UACGUAGGGGCCGAGCGUUGUCCGGAUUCAUUGGGCGUAAAGAGCGUGUAGGCGGCCGCUUAAGUCCUGCGUGAAAUCUCGGAGCUCAACUCCGAGCGGUCGUGGGAAACUGGGCGGCUAGAGUGCGGGAGAGGAGAGUGGAAUUCCUGGUGUAGCGGUGGAAUGCGCAGAUAUCAGGAAGAACACCGGUGGCGAAGGCGGCAUCCUGGACCGGUAUUGACGCUGAUGCGCGAAAGCCAGGGGAGCAAACGGG